rnacentral:tRNA from 1 species
GUGUGGCUCAGUGAUAGAGCAUUUACCUGGAAUGAAUGAGGCCUGAGUUAGAUUCCCAGCAC